CAGCCGCCGCGGGAAAACGGAGGGGGCUAGCGUUGUUCGGAAUUACUGGGCGUAAAGCGUACGUAGGCGGCUUUGUAAGUUAGAGGUGAAAGCCUGGUGCUCAACACCAGAACCGCCUUUAAGACUGCAUCGCCUGAACGUCGGAGAGGUGAGUGGAAUUCCGAGUGUAGAGGUGAAAUUCGUAGAUAUUCGGAAGAACACCAGUGGCGAAGGCGGCUCACUGGACGACUGUUGACGCUGAGGUACGAAAGCGUGGGGAGCAAACAGGAUUAGAUACCCCGGUAGUCCCUGUCUCUUAUAA
rnacentral:rRNA from 1 species